rnacentral:rRNA from 1 species
AGCGAACGCUGGCGGUAGGCCUAACACAUGCAAGUCGAACGGCAGCACAGUAAGAGCUUGCUCUUACGGGUGGCGAGUGGCGGACGGGUGAGGAAUACAUCGGAAUCUACUUUUUCGUGGGGGAUAACGUAGGGAAACUUACGCUAAUACCGCAUACGACCUACGGGUGAAAGCAGGGGAUCUUCGGACCUUGCGCGAUUGAAUGAGCCGAUGUCGGAUUAGCUAGUUGGCGGGGUAAAGGCCCACCAAGGCGACGAUCCGUAGCUGGUCUGAGAGGAUGAUCAGCCACACUGGCACUGAGACACGGUCCAGACUCCUACGGGAGGCAGCAGUGGGGAAUAUUGGACAAUGGGCGCAAGCCUGAUCCAGCCCUACCGCGUGGGUGAAGAAGGCCUUCGGGUUGUAAAGCCCUUUUGUUGGGAAAGAAAAGCAGCAGGUUAAUACCCCGCUGUUCUGACGGUACCCAAAGAAUAAGCCCCGGCUAACUUCGUG